rnacentral:rRNA from 1 species
AACGAACGCUGGCGGCAGGCCUAACACAUGCAAGUCGAGCGCCCUUUCGGGGGAGCGGCGGCCGGGUGAGUAACGCGUGGGAAUAUGCCCUUCUCUACGGAAUAGCCUCGGGAAACUGAGAGUAAUACCGUAUACGCCCUGCGGGGGAAAGAUUUAUCGGGGAAGGAUUAGCCCGCGUUGGAUUAGGUAGUUGGUGGGGUAAUGGCCUACCAAGCCGACGAUCCAUAGCUGGUUUGAGAGGAUGAUCAGCCACACUGGGACUGAGACACGGCCCAGACUCCUACGGGAGGCAGCAGUGGGGAAUCUUAGACAAUGGGGGCAACCCUGAUCGAGCCAUGCCGCGUGAGUGAUGAAGGCCUUAGGGUUGUAAAGCUCUUUCAGCUGGGAAGAUAAUGACGGUACCAGCAGAAGAAGCCCCGGCUAACUCCGUG